rnacentral:lncRNA from 1 species
AUUGGAUCUCUUUGUGUUUCCAGGUCAAACAGGAACACAUAUGCUCCCUACUGAGGAAAAUAAACUGCAAUGUAUUUUUAGCAUCCGUUGGAAGUACUUUCAGCUGAAGAUAUUCUGCAGGAUCCAGACUAUUUCACUGAGGGCCAAAGGCUUGGCCACAAUGCCACCUAGAAUUCUAGAACUUGCCCUGGGGGGUCUGUAAGUAGCGGUGUCCCUGAACCCCCACCCCACCCCUCUUCGUUCUCAGCCCAAGUCCUGUUGCAGACAUCCUCUUUCGGAAAAAAAGAAGGCAAAUCAUUCCAGAGAAAGACAAAUGAAAAACAUCUGUGAAAUAGUUACGGCAAAUGGAGCUGACUGUAGAACACUUGGCACUUGGAGGAGGGAAGAGGGAGGAUGAAGAGCAGAGAGGAUGCCCCCUCCCACCCCUUUCGCGCCUAAUGCUGAAGAUAUUCAUUUCCUGCCUGACAUCCAUAAUGAAAAUAUCUAUUCACGUCUGUCUAGCUGACAUGACCUAUUCUUUCACGAGACCACACGGGAAAUGCCUCCAUGAUGCAGGUGCAGGGAAUUUUGUUCCCGCACAAGCCAACUUUCAGAUGUAUCGGGAAAUUCCGUCUGGGAACAAACACUCGCAAGUGCCUUUGCCAGAGGUGCCGAAUCAACAAGCCAGAGCACAGUUCUCUCUCCCGACCCGCCCACCUGGGCACACACAGCCAGCCUCGCUGCUUCUGGACUCCCUGUAAUGAUGUUUCAUCAUGUGACAGAUACCACGUCCACCAGACAAAAAACACAGGCUCCGCAAGUGCGGAGAGCAGUUUGGUUUUCCUCUUCUAAGUGGUUAACUUCGGGCUGGCAGAACAACCACGAAGGUCUCACGAAGGCUGAAAUUCGGUCCUUCGGUUCUCAGACUGCUCGGCUCUUCGGGUUUUGAAAGAUAUUGCUGCCCCACGUGUUCUGUGCCGCUCUGUCCCCAAAGAAUUCAUUGAAUUUGCAGAUAAAGACCGAGAUAAAACGGUCAAGAAGAAUUAUGAGAUAACUGAAUAAGCAAAAUGUGGAGUAUGCAUAUAAUGAGAUAUUGUUCAGCCUUAAAAAGGAAGGAAAUCUUGACACACGCUGCACCAUGGACAUUGUGCUCAGUGAGACAGGUCAGUUACAGAGGACAGACAUGGCAUGAUCCUACUUCUGUGAGGGGUCUAGGGUCGUCAAGUUCAUAGAGACAGGAAGUGGACUGGUGGCUGUCAUACUCCUGGGGAAGAAGAGUGGGAGCGACUUGGGGGGGGGGGUUAUGGUUUAAUGAGUAUGAAAUUUCACUUUGGGAGAAUGAAGAAGUUCUUCGGUUGCUUCUGCAGUGUGAACGCGCCGCUAAUCUGUCCACUUGAAAAUGGUUAAAGUCGUAAAUUUUAUGUUCUGUACUUUUGACCGUGAUUUAAUUUUAAUUUUUUUUAAUACUUAUUUUUGAGAGAGAGAGAGACAGACAGAGCACGAGCCGGGGAGGGGCAGAGAGAGGGGGAGACACAGAAUCGAAGCACAGAGCCCGAUGUGGGGCUCAAACUCAUGAGCUGCGAGAUCAUGUCCUGAGCCUGACGCAGGGCUUGAACCCACACACCGAGAGAUCAUGACCUGAACGAGAGUCAGAGGCUUAACUGACUAAGCCACUCAGGCGCCCCAUUUUACUGUGAUUUUAAAAAACCCAUUGAAUUAAAAAAAUUAUGAGACAAUAAGGGCCGUUUAAACCCUGAUUGGGUUAAGGAAGUAUUGUUCUUUUUUUAAGACUUUCUUUUAGAGGCGCCUGGGUGACUCAGUCGGUUAAGCGUCUGACUCUUGAUUUUGGCUCAGGUCAUGAUCUCACAGUUCGUGAGUUCAAGCCCCACAUCCAGCUCUGUGCUGACAGUGUAGAUAGAGCUUGCUUGGGAUUCUGUCUCUCUCCCUCUCUCUCUCUGCCCCUCCCCAACUCAUAUGUGCAUGCACUCUCUCUCUCAAAAUAAAUAAACCUAAAAAAAAAAAAUUAAAAGUAAA